ensembl:lncRNA
GAGGGAAAAAUCUAUGUACUACUCAAGAACACAAUCAGCUCUGCAAACACUGAAGUGCACCACACACACACACACACACACACACACACACACACACACACACACACGCGCAGACAGACACGGACAGAUACACAGACAGACACACAGACACGGACAGAUACACAGACAGACACACAGACACGCUGACAGACACGCAGACAGACACGCAGACAGACACACAUAGACAGACACGCAGACACGGACACGCAGACACGGACACGCAGACACGGACACGCAGACACGGACACGGACAGAUACACAUAGACAGACACGCAGACACAGACAGACACACACGCAGACACACACGCAGACACACACGCAGACACACACGCAGACACACACGCAGACACACACGCAGACACACACACGCAGACACACACACAGACACACACACACAGACACACACACACAGACACAGACACACACAGAGACACACACAGAGACACUUAUGAUCAUUAUCAUCAAUCUUCUUUUUAUUAUAAUAAUAAUGAUAAUAAUUAAGUAGUGGUAGUAUUAUCAGUAGUAUUAUCAGUAGUAUUAUCAGUAGUAGUAUCAGUAGUAUUAUCAGUAGUAGUAUCAGUAGUAUUAUCAGUAGUAGUAUCAGUAGUAUUAUCAGUAGUAGUAUCAGUAGUAUUAUACAGAGUAUUAUCAGUAGUAUUAUCAGUAGUAUUAUCAGUAGUAGUAUCAGUAGUAUUAUCAGUAGUAUUAUCAGUAGUAGUAUCAGUAGUAGUAUCAGUAGUAUAGUACGUCUAGUAGUGGUAACUAGUGCUACGGUAAGUAUGAGCAGUAGCACAAAGGACACGUUAUUGUUCAUAAACACGUCCUGCAUAUAAACAGAUCCACUCGCGGUGUGUGUCAGACGUCUGCACCGAGUUCCACUCCACACCGACCCUUAACUUCACACCUUCAGAUGUUUCACAAACCACCGCCUGAGCACCAUCAGUGUUAUUAAAACAUCCUGAGCUUCACAUGUUCCAGCUAAACCAGUGAUGCUAAAGAAAAACAAACACGUGUGCGAGUGUGUGUGUGUGUGUGUGUGUGUGUGUGUGAGUGUGUGUGUGUGCGUCGAGAACGCGUGCAGCGUGUAAAUAUCAAACCCUGAGGUGAGUUACGGAGGUCAGAGCGAAACUCGGAUUUAAACGCCUCACAACAAAAUCCGUUUCGGGCGCGUGAGAAGAGGCUACAGCUAACAUCACGUAGCUUCAACCUCGUCACGUUUUUGUGCUACAUUCGGCCGUAAAAAACACGUCCUGGGCGACUGAACACGUGUAAACCGUGUAAAAUUUCAUUUACAGUCAAACAUUUAUGAAAAACCGCUUGAAGCUGGAUCCUCGAGUCGCAACGAAGAACAACAACAGAAGCAGCUGGACACGUUUCCGUGGCAAUAACUAAACCUGCACGUGUAGCUACAGCCGCGCUCACGUUUGUUUAACUGCGAAAACGCGAAGAAAUCAGGAGAUCUGUAAAGCCCCGCAGGUUCUCGUGUUGAACUCCAACACAGCCUGGAGCUCUGAGGAAGCGCGGCGUAGCGACCUGAAGUUCUCCCGAGGUGCUCGAACGAAGGACGCGUCUCAACGCGAGCUUCACACAACCCGCUGAACACUAAAAUCUGACCUCCACGUCAUCACCGCUCAAAAAGAGAAGAACAAAGAGAACCGUAUGAUUUCGUUUUAAACCUGUUCUGAACUUUCCAGAUUUACAACCUUCAGCUUUCUUCAUCAGCCUGUGCGGUCAAACCUGAUCGGCACCGCUCUUACAAAGUAACGCCUCCAGCCUGACGCCGUCGGAGAACCCUUUCACCCUCACGGUCUUUACAGAACCACCCAUUCACUCACUAGUGCCUCAAAGAGCCCAGAAACGGUUCUUCACAGCAGUGCCACAAGGUUCUCAAAGAACCUUCUUCUCGUCAAGAUCCGUCUUCCCCUUGUACAGGGUUCUCGAGUUGAGCUGGACGCUUCUCUGGAGAUUACAGGAGUUCUUUAUGUUUUGCUAAAGGUUCUUCAGAGCAGUGUUUGGUUCUUCGAGGUCUCAUCCCUUCUUAACAGCUUGAAGUGAACCCUGCACUAUACGGUUCUUUGAGGGACUGGAUGUGUGAGAAGGUUCUCCUUGCAGCACUCUAAUAACUGAGAACUUGUUAGAGAACUCGACACUGCUGUGAAGAACCAUUUUCAAGAUAAACGGUUCUGUAAAGAGCGUACGAGUUCAAGCGUCCUCCUAUGGCUGAAAAAAGUGUUUUCGGUUCUGACUGCGAGCUCCAUUUUUAAGCGUGAACCUUUUCCAGUCCCACAAAGAACCUUAUACAGCAGGGUUCACUUCAACCCGCUGAGAAGGGACGGGACCUUGAAGAACCUUUAACGGAACAUAAAGAACUUCUUUAAUCUCCACAGAAGCGUAGCAUCGCGUUCAGCUCAACUCAAGCAGACUGAGCAACGAAGGACGGUUCGUGGGAAGGAGAAGGUUCUACUCUGAAGAACCUUUACUUAUUUUGGUGGAUUCUGCAGUAAGUCUGGAACAUGGCUAAGAACAAUAGCACAAAUAAAUAA